CCUGAAAACCACAUGAGUCACUAGGAGAGAUGUCUCUUCAAUGCAAGCAGGAGGUGAUCUUUCCUGCCUUUUUACUUUCUGCCCUUCCUCGCCCGAAUUCGUAGGGAGGCGUUGAGGCACUCUGGUGGGGACAGUCUUCUCUUCACCUCGGCGAUGGUCACUUUGUACUUGGAGGUGGAGCUGAGCAGGGACAGGCGGCCCGGUACCGAACAGAACAGGUUCAGAACUCGACGUGUGUUAAAAAUGGACAUGUGUUGACUCUUGGUGUUGCUGUUGGUGCUUCUUAACCUCAUACUGCACUCAAAACAAGACAAGAUCAGAUGUUUUCUGGGCAAACGGGCAAGAAACGAUCAACUAAAAAUGAACACAUUUUCAGUUUUUAUUAUAGUCUGUCAGCAUUUCAGUGGCCAAGAUCCAAGUUUCUCCUGUGGACAUAAAUUACAUUAUUUUUAGCAAUCUGAAAUGAGCCUUUUUUGUUAAAAAGUCACAACCUGUUCUUUUAUUUUUGUAGUUUUUCUUGCAUAACAGUUUUCCCCUUUUUGCUGUUCUUGUCCCGGCCAGCAGAGUGCGCCGCUUUGGCAGUGCAGCCUGAGGGUAGAUUAACCUGCAGAAAGAGAGGGCACACACACACUUACUCGCACACAUACACACACACAUAUUCACACCCUCUCACUUUGAAAGCUAGUAAGUAUACACAUGCAAGGGGGCCGAUGCAGGUUCAAUGACUUUGAUCGUGUAAUUCCUGUGUAAUCUCUGUAAUCUUUUAAAGCACAGCUGUUUGAAUGUAUGUUGUAUGCGUGUGUGAUUGCAUGAGUCACUGCUUGCCGUUAUGUACAUUGGAUUAAGGAGAUGAAGUAGAGGCCGAGGCUAACGCUAAAGGAAAAUCUUUAAGAAUCAAACGAUCCGUCCACUCUGUUACAGAUUUUCAAUCCUGUACAGACUGGCUAAUGUUUUUACUGUGGACCUUAAACAGAGCCCUGGUUUGACAGUUUUACCUCUUUUAAAGUGUUAAUGAAGGGUGUCUUUUUAUAUAUUGUGUUGCAGUGAGUGUUAAUAGCUGGUUAUGUGGACAUUUGCUGGUGUCUUUAAGGCCUCCAGGCAGCCUAAUUUGACCUUUUGACCUUUUUUAUUAUGGUAAAAUUCAAUAGGAUGUCACUGAGGUACCUUCUUUUUGUUGCAUGACCACAAAAUGAACACGAUUUACUGUUUGUAUAUGAUUGUAUGAAAUACAUUCUAAAUAAAC